rnacentral:lncRNA from 1 species
UGUUCACCAAAAAGAAAUAGAUCUGGUGUGAGUAACGUAUGGUGGGUUUAAUUGCUGCCUCAAGCUGACUCUGUCUCAUGUUUUUUCAGCAUACAUGCAGAAUGUUGAUGUUUAUUUCAUAUUUUGUGUGCUCAGCAAGACUGGCAGCUGGUUAUUCACUUACUCAAACACUCACAGGUGUACUGAGACCAGCGCAACCUACACAUGACCCACUUCUGUGCUGCAUCGUUCUUCACUCUGCAAGGACGCCCAAAGACUGCUUUUGACAGAGGCACGCGAUGGGGAUCUUACAGUUAGACCCACAUGCAAGCCUGGCUUUUCAGAAGAAGACUACACAGCAUUCGUCUCCCAAAGUAUCAUGGAAGGGCAGAAGCUACUGAAAGAUAAGCGAAUGAAAGGAUUACUUCAUAGAGACGUAAUUCAAAUGUCGAUGUUGUGGCUCAUUACAGAAAGCAGCACAGCCUCCUUAAAAGAACGAAGCAUCAGAAUGAUACCCCAUCUGAUCACCUACCUAGUCAUACUCUUAGCAAACUCAGAAACCCCAUUAGCCUGGAGGAUUUGCUACUAUGUGAAUUCCUCAGGUGUGUUUGUCUGUAGCUGAUUUGUUCUGAAUUACAGUUCCCAAGUUGGGUGUGCUGUUUCUUUGAGGAUUACUUUGAAGUAGCUUUUAAUUUAUGUCCUUGAGUCCACUUCUACUGCUCUACUGCUGUGUCCAUGGUCACUUCUAGUUUUUAGGUAAGUAGAUGAAGGAAGAAGAGGAGGAAGUGGGUCUACUAUCCUUAAAUAUAUUAUAUAUAUUUAUUAAUCUGUGAAGAAUAAAGAGAACAUCUAAAAGUUGGCCA